GUCCAGCCCACCCCGAUUGACCUGCAUUGCACUGCUAAGGGACAUACUGCAUUACUGGUGAGAGGUGUAAUGUUUCAUGAUGAGGGUGUUGCUGGCUACGCAGCAUUUAUUGCCCAUCCCUAAUUGCCUAGUUAAGAGUCAACGACAUUUCUGUGGACCUGGAGUUCCAUGUAGGCCAGACCAGCUCAUGGGUUCCCAAGGUCAAGGAAAAAACGUAAGCACAUUCUCCACUGCUGCAGAAUGCUGACACCAAAUCUCGGGCCAUUGGAAUCCCAGACCGGACCACCAUGCCACCGCAAAAGUCAUGGGAAACAUCCUCUCAACAUUUACCAUGUAAAGUCCCUGAAAAAUCUGGUAUGUUUCAGUGAAAUCACUUCUCAGUGAGACUACUUCCCAUUCUUUUAAAUUUCGAUGAGCAGAGUCCCAACCUGUUUAACCUUUGACCAUAAGACAAUCACUCCAAACCAGGGAUCAUUCUGGUGAACCUUGUCUGAACUGUCUCCAAUGAAAAAACAAAUAAUUUUAGUGAUCUCUGUUCACAGGGUUUACUGAGAUACUUCCUGUGCUGAUCAGAGUGUUGCUUCAUGAUCUUUCUUCUCCAGAUGCUUCCGCUGAAAUGUAGGAGGCACA